CAUUCUAUACCCCAUUAUUUGCCCGACCCCUGUCUGCUCAGUUUUAGGUUGGGGUGACCACGGAGUAUAAAAUAACCUCCAUGAAGAAGGGGAUAUUUCCCUUAUUAGAGAACCACACUUCCAAGAACUAAUAAAUUAAUUUUCAAUGACCCGAUACCCGAUAAUCGAUCAACGAACCAAGUUACCCUGGGGAUAACAGCGCANUCCACCCUGAAAGCCCUUAUUAACAGGUGGGUUUACGACCUCGAUGUUGGAUCAGGGUAUCCCAGUGGUGCAGCAGCUACUGAGGGUUCGUUUGUUCAACGAUUAA
rnacentral:rRNA from 1 species